UACGAACUGUGCAAACGUUAUUCGGAAUCACUGGGCUUAAAGGGUGCGUAGGCGGCUUAUCAAGUAGGGUGUGAAAGCCCCCGGCUUAACCGGGGAAUUGCGCCCUAAACUGACGAGCUGGAGUGGGACAGGGGUGUGUGGAACUUCCGGUGGAGCGGUGAAAUGUGUGAUAUCGGAAGGAACGCCGGUGGCGAAAGCGACACACUGGGUCUCAACUGGACCGCUGAGGCACGAAAGCCCAGGGGAGGC
rnacentral:rRNA from 1 species